rnacentral:rRNA from 1 species
UGGGGAAUUUUGGACAAUGGGCGCAAGCCUGAUCCAGCAAUGCCGCGUGCAGGAUGAAGGCCUUCGGGUUGUAAACUGCUUUUGUACGGAGCGAAAAGGCCUGCCCUAAUACGGUGGGCUCAUGACGGUACCGUAAGAAUAAGCACCGGCUAACUACGUGCCAGCAGCCGCGGUAAUACGUAGGGUGCGAGCGUUAAUCGGAAUUACUGGGCGUAAAGCGUGCGCAGGCGGUUAUAUAAGUCAGAUGUGAAAUCCCCGGGCUCAACCUGGGACCUGCAUUUGUGACAGUAUAGCUAGAGUACGGUAGAGGGGGAUGGAAUUCCGCGUGUAGCAGUGAAGUGCGUAGAUAUGCGGAGGAACACCGAUGGCGAAGGCAAUCCCCUGGACCUGUACUGACACUCAUGCACGAAAGCGUGGGGAGCAAACA